AAAAAAUUAGUUAAUUUAUAAUAUUAAAAUGUCAUUUUAAAGUAAUUAAUAAAAUUAAUAUUUUUUA
rnacentral:tRNA from 1 species